rnacentral:misc_RNA from 1 species
UUUCCGUAGGUGAACCUGCGGAAGGAUCAUUACAGAAUUGUCAAACGGGUUGUUGCUGGCCCUCAAUGGGGGCAUGUGCACGCUCUGUUUACACAUCCACUCACACCUGUGCACUCUCAGUAGUUCUGUGGUCUGGGGGACCCUGUCUCCCUUCCAUGGUCCUACGUCUUUACACACACACACACUGUAACAAGUCCUAUGGAAUGUACGUCGCGUCUAACGCAAUACAAUACAACUUUCAGCAACGGAUCUCUUGGCUCUC